ACUGACUGAAAAUCAUCUCUGGCCUCUUCAGUGGCCUUGGGUGAGAUAAUGGUGCCUACAGCAAAAGGAGCAUUAAGCUUAUUGUCCUUAAGUAUGAUCUGUGGGCAAUAAAACCCAUGCUCCUAUACAU